rnacentral:rRNA from 1 species
CGGUGAAUACGUUCCAGGACCUUGCACACACCGCCCGUCAAGCCAUGGAAGCCGGGUGUACCUAAAGUCGGUAACCGUAAGGAGCCGCCUAGGGUAAAACUGGUGACUGGGGCU